UACGUAGGGGGCAAGCGUUGUCCGGAUUUAUUGGGCGUAAAGAGCGUGUAGGCGGCCAUGCAGGUCCGCUGUGAAAACUCGAGGCUCAACCUCGAGACGUCGGUGGAAACCGCAUGGCUAGAGUCCGGAAGAGGAGAGUGGAAUUCCCGGUGUAGCGGUGAAAUGCGCAGAUAUCGGGAAGAACACCCGUGGCGAAGGCGGCUCUCUGGGACGGUACUGACGCUGAGACGCGAAAGCGUGGGGAGCGAGCAGG
rnacentral:rRNA from 1 species